AUUGAACGCUGGCGGCAGGCCUAACACAUGCAAGUCGAGCGAGCGGCGGACGGGUGAGUAAUGUCUGGGAAACUGCCUUAUGGAGGGGGAUAACUACUGGAAACGGUAGCUAAUACCGCAUACCAUCAGAUGUGCCCAGAUGGGAUUGGCUAGUAGGUGGGGUAACGCCUCACCUAGGCGCCGAUCCCUAGCUGGUCUGAGAGGAUGACCAGCCAAACUGGAACUACGACACGGUCCAGACUCCUACGGGAGGCAGAAGAGGGGAUUAUAGGACAAGGGGCGCAGGCCUGAUGCAGCCAGGCCGCGUGGGUGAAGAAGGCGUGCGGUGUGUAAAGCACUUUCAGCGGGGAGGCGUUACCCGCAGAAGAAGCACCGGCUAACUCCGUGCCAGCAGCCGCGGUAAUAC
rnacentral:rRNA from 1 species